AACGAACGCUGGCGGCAUGCCUAACACAUGCAAGUCGAACGAGACCUUCGGGUCUAGUGGCGCACGGGUGCGUAACGCGUGGGAACCUGCCCUUAGGUUCGGAAUAACUCAGAGAAAUUUGAGCUAAUACCGGAUAAUGUCUUCGGACCAAAGAUUUAUCGCCUUUGGAUGGGCCCGCGUAGGAUUAGCUUGUUGGUGGGGUAAUGGCCUACCAAGGCGACGAUCCUUAGCUGGUCUGAGAGGAUGAUCAGCCACACUGGGACUGAGACACGGCCCAGACUCCUACGGGAGGGAGCAGUGGGGAAUAUUGGAAAAUGGGCGAAAGGAUGAUCCAGCUAUGCCGCGUGAGUGAUGAAGGCCUUAGGGUUGUAAAGCUCUUUUACCAGGGAUGAUAAUGACAGUACCUGGAGAAUAAGCUCCGGCUAACUCCGUG
rnacentral:rRNA from 1 species